GUGAAGCGGUUGACGGAUGUUCGAAGGACGAAAUCUGAGGUUUACGAAGGAUUUUCGCAUGUGUUUUGUGAUGAAUCGACUCAGAACAAGCUCACUCCGAUCUUCUGGCUGCCGGAGAAAGUGUAUCUGCUUGGAGAGUCUCGGAAUUGGCUUUGGCGACGCUGAACGCUGCUUCAUUCGAAUCGAUGGGGGCUUCAUAUGCAGAAUGUUCCCUCACUUAGUGGUCUCAUGCUCACUCAAGCAGAGGUAAAGUAAAGUUUAUCAUCAUUCAUCAAUUUUCUUUUCUUUUUUGUUUAUAAUAAAGCUUUUUAUAUUUGCAACUUGACAAAAUGUGAUUUAUAUUAAAUUUAUUUUAAGUUAAUAGUGUACUGGUUAUAACUAAUAUCAAAUCUUUACUAAUACUUGAUUUCUUUUUAUGAUGGUUGACUUUGCGAGAACUAACGGAGCAUUAGUGUCAAGAAUGGGCUGAGAUUCGAAUUCAGUCGGUUUUUCGCUCUUUUUUGACAAAAAGGGAUCAAGAUCGGGACCGUCCAUUUGACUUCACACGGAUCACCAUAUGCUUUCUCUCUCAAUGCUCACACAUCUGACAAAAAGGGAUGCCAAAAGCAGGGAAGUACAAUCUACAGGAAAAAACAACACUUUACUUUUGUGUGAAAGACAGCUUGCUUGCUGCAGUCUCUAUAAUAUAUCAACACUCUUCCAUACACUGUUUGAAAGACAGCACUGCUUCCUUCAGUCUCUAUAAAUAAUCCAGAGAUAUCUACACUCUACUCACACUUUACAAACUCUCAACUACACUCAACUGAAAUUAAUAUAUCAACUCUUUGCAUUCGGAUCUUGCGUUGUUUCUCGGCUCUCACAUCAAGGUUUUAAAAUUUUUGUCGGCUUUUCACAUCUCCCUCUUGCAUUGUUGUAAGUUCUUUCAAAUAUGACAUAGUGAAAGGAUAAAUUGUUUUUGUAGUUUUGAUUUUACUUUGUUCUGUUAUAUUUUGAUCUUUUCCUUCA